rnacentral:rRNA from 1 species
GCGCAGCAGUCGCGAAUUUUUCUCAAUGGGGGCAACCCUGAAGGAGCGACGCCGCGUGGAGGAUGAAGGCUUUCGGGUUGUAAACUCCUGUCAUUUGAGAACAAGUGUGAGCACAUAACUACUGCUCAUUUGACAGUAUCAGAAGAGGAAGGGACGGCUAACUCUGUGCCAGCAGCCGCGGUAACACAGAGGUCCCAAGCGUUGUUCGGAUUCAUUGGGCGUAAAGGGUGCGUAGGUGGCGUGGUAAGUCGGGUGUGAAAUUUCGGAGCUUAACUCCGAAACUGCAUUCGAUACUGCCGUGCUUGAGGACUGGAGAGGAGACUGGAAUUUACGGUGUAGCAGUGAAAUGCGUAGAGAUCGUAAGGAAGACCAGUGGCGAAGGCGGGUCUCUGGACAGUUCCUGACACUGAGGCACGAAGGCUAGGGGAGCAAACGGGAUUAGAUACCCCCGUAGU